CUUCUUCUUCUUCUUCUUCUUUUAGAUAAUUUGGCUCCAACGCCUUUGGCAUUGAUUUUGCCAAUGUCAAAGUAUUUACAAAAAUGACAGGUGCUUAGAGAGGGAAAAAAUUACUAAAUCUAAAUACAAGUAAAUUUGGUCGGUUUUUCCAUACGCGAAUCUGUGGUUUUAAGAACAGCACAAACAAAUAUAUGUUAGACUAACUACUUUAGAGAUAAAUAUUAUUAGCAGAUAAAAUUUUACACAGAAUAUUUACAUGUUUAGAAUAGACUAAAGUUAAUAAACAAUUAAUAUUAAUAGGUCGGGGAAUGUCAUUGGGAAGGAUAUCAUAAAGAGGGGAUACGAUAUUGGGGCAGUCGAAGAAAAUGUGAUCCAGGGUACCCUCAUCUAAUCCACACUCACAAAGAGAAUGGUCACGGACUCUAAUUUUGGCAAGAAAAACAGGGGAGCAAACAUGGCCAAGUCUAAGACGGAUUAUAGCUGAGACAAUUUUUUUAGGAAGAUGGCAGUGGGAGGAAAACCAAGGCUUAGAGGGCAGGCCCAUAACAACAGCCUCCUUGGCACAGGAGUCAGCAAGCUCAUUCCCACAAAUUCCGCUAUGACUUGGGAUCCAGACGAGAGUGACAUCAAGUCCGGAGCAGUGACAUUGAAACAGAGUUUCUUUAAUUUUUAAUAUAAUUUCAAAAUUGACUUU